rnacentral:lncRNA from 1 species
UUAGAAGAUCCUCUAGGGAUCACCACCCACCUGCUCAUCUUCAGCCUUAUGUUUGUCAACCUCCCCUUCCUUGUGUUGCCCUAGUGCUUCUUUAUCUAGUUGCUUUCAUUCCCUAGUUGAUAAUACUAUUACUGAACCUUCAUCUUACAACCAAACUGCCUCUACUCCAGAAUGGCAAGAAGCCAUGAAGAAAGAAUUUGAGGCACUUGAGGCUAAUCACACUUGGUCUAUUGUUGAGUUGCCUCAAGGUAAGAAACCAAUUGGGUUCAAAUAGGUUUACAAAGCUAAAUAUAGUCUAGGGAUCACCACCCACCUGCUCAUCUUCAGCCUUAUGUUUGUCAACUUCCCCCUUUCUUGUGUGGCCCUAGUGCUUCUUUAUCUAGUUGCUUUCAUUCCCUAGUUGAUAAUACUAUUACUAAACCUUCAUCUUAAUACCAAGCUGCCUCUAUUCCAGAAUGGCAAGAAGCCAUGAAGAAAGAAUUUGAGGCACUUGAGGC